rnacentral:rRNA from 1 species
GCAUAAUCACUUGCCUCCUAAUUAGCGGAUAGAAUGAAUGGAAGAACGAAACUUUACCUGUGUCAUAAAUAAUAACAAAAAUUAAACUCCAGGUGAAGAUGCCUGGAUUAAAUUGAAAGACAAGAAGACCCUAUAGAGUUUUAGUAAUCCCCCCAUCCCACCCGCACAUUACUUUUGUUGGGGCGACAAAGGCAUAAAUAAAAUCAUCCUUUCUAACAACGACUCUAUAAGUCCUCGCAAAGAACCCACAAAGAUCUAAAGAUAAACUACCUUAGGGAUAACAGGCUAAUCUCCUUUAAGAGAUCUAAUCGACAAGGAAGUUUGGCACCUCGAUGUUGGCUUAGAGAUCCCAUUCACUGAAGCCGGUGAAUAGGGUAGUUUGUUCAACUAUUAAACCUCU